rnacentral:tRNA from 1 species
CCGCUAGCUAUCGGGCAAUGAGGGUGCCCUCCGGAGGCAAAGGUCAUAGGUUCGAAUCCUAUCGGGCGCGCCA